rnacentral:rRNA from 1 species
GACAGAGGGUGCAAACGUUGCUCGGAAUUACUGGGCGUAAAGCGCGUGUAGGCGGACCAGCAAGUCGGACGUGAAAUCCCUGAGCUCAACUCAGGAACUGCAUCCGAAACUGCUGGUCUGGAGUGGUGGAGAGGGAAGCAGAAUUCCUGGUGUAGAGGUGAAAUUCGUAGAUAUCAGGAGGAACACCGGUGGCGAAGGCGGCUUCCUGGACACUUACUGACGCUGAGACGCGAAAGCGUGGGGAGCGAACAGG